AAAUUGAAGAGUUUGAUCAUGGCUCAGAUUGAACGCUGGCGGCAGGCCUAACACAUGCAAGUCGAACGGUAACAGGAAGCAGCUUGCUGUUUCGCUGACGAGUG
rnacentral:rRNA from 1 species